rnacentral:misc_RNA from 1 species
UGGCUCUCGCAUCGAUGAAGAACGCAGCGAAAUGUGAUAAGUAAUGUGAAUUGCAGAAUUCAGUGAAUCAUCGAAUCUUUGAACGCACCUUGCGCUCUCUGGUAUUCCGGAGAGCAUGUCUGUUUGGGUGUCAUGAACUCUUCAACACACCGGUUCCUAGCUGAACUGGCGCGUGUUUGGAUUCUGAGUGUUGCCGUUCAGUUAGCUCACUCGUAAUAUAUUAGCAUCUCAAUUUCGUAAUCGGAUUGACUCGGCGUAAUAGACUAUUCGCUGAGGACACCAGACCGUGUUGUUUGGUGGCCGAGAAAUGGAAAAGGGACGCUUCGAACCCUUGCAAGUCAUUCUAAGAUUAGACCUCAGAUCAGGCAGGACUACCCGCUGA